rnacentral:misc_RNA from 1 species
UACGGUGGGAGCUAGCGUUGUUCGGAAUUACUGGGCGUAAAGGGCGCGUAGGCGGAUGAUUAAGUUAGAUGUGAAAUACCCGGGCUUAACCUGGGAUGUGCAUAUAAUACUGAUUGUCUGGAGUAGAGUAGAGGGAAGUGGAAUUUCCGGUGUAGCGGUGAAAUGCGUAGAUAUCGGAAAGAACACCAGUGGCGAAGGCGGCUUCCUGGACUCAUACUGACGCUGAGGCGCGAAAGCGUGGGUAGCAAACAGG